rnacentral:tRNA from 1 species
GGGGCGGUAGCUCAGUCGGUCAGAGCCACGGACUCAUAAUCCGGAGGUCGCGGGUUCGAGCCCCGCCCGCCCCACCA